UUGGAAGUAAAAAGUCGUAACAAGGUUUCCGUAGGUGAACCUGCGGAAGGAUCAUUAAUGGAUUGAAACUCUGGCAGAUGGCUGUUGCUGGCUCUCACUGGGAGGGCACUGUGCACGCCCUCUUGCUCGUUUCC
rnacentral:rRNA from 1 species